GGGAUAAGAACUGAGUGUCAAAUCCUCCUAAGGCUUUUUUUUUAAGUUUUAUAGUGAGGGUAUACUAAAAUUUGGAGUAUUCUAUAUAAAUACGCAUUUAAAAGUUUUUGAUUAAAUUUAAACUAACAUGAUGAUCAAAACCAUAACUGAUACCUAGCGGGAUACGGAAUCAGAGAUAUUUAUAAUUAAAUAUGUUGUUUAUUAGUAUUGAAUAAACGGAUUGGCUAUAUUGGCAGUU